CUUACAUUUACCCAGUAAUGACGGGAAGUAUGGUGGAGGUGCUUACAUUUACGGUGUAAUGACAGGAAGUAUGGUGGAGGUGCUUGCAUUUACAGCGUAAUGACAGGAAGUAUGGUGGAGGUGCUUGCAUUUACAGCGUAAUGACAGGAAGUAUGGUGGAGGUGCUUGCAUUUACAGCGUAAUGACAGGAAGUAUGGUGGAGGUGCUUACAUUUACGGUGUAAUGACAGGAAGUAUGGUGGAGGUGCUUACAUUUACGCUGUAAUGACGGGAAGUAUGGUGGAGGUGCUUGCAUUUACAGUGUAAUGACAGGAAGUAUGGUGGAGGUGCUUCAAUUUAAGGUGUAAUGACAGGAAGUAUGGUGGAGGUGGUUACAUUUGUGGUGUAAUGACAGGGGCAAAAUACAUUUGGGUCCUUUGCCAGGCAAGUUUGUAACAGUUCCAGUUGCUCUGAACUUGUUUAGUAUUGCCCUAACGGUAGAUACAGGCAUUUUCAGAUUAGUAGCUAUUUUUUAUAGCCAUUCCCUGACUUAUGAAGCUCAACACACUUUUCCUUCAUUUCAUUUGUGUGUUCUCUUAUCUUUCCCAUGUUGAUGUAUGAAUAAUGGAAUAUGGCCUCUGUGUCACCUCAUAUUUAUACCCCUGUGAAACAGGAAGUCAUGGAUGAUUACUUGACAGUUCCUCAACACUCUAAUCAACUUAACGUACAAUUUGUUACAUUUUGUUCAUUAGUAAAUAAUUGUGGCACACAUGCUUUUGUUAGAAAUAAUUAUUUCUUGGCGACAGGUUUUCUCCUCUGUAUAAAUGUACUUCCAUUAAAGGUUG
ensembl:lncRNA